rnacentral:rRNA from 1 species
GCAUAUCAAUAAGCGGAGGAAAAGAAACCAACAGGGAUUGCCCCAGUAACGGCGAGUGAAAGCGGCAACAGCUCAAAUUUGAAAUCUGGCUCCCUCGGGGCCCGAGUUGUAAUUUGCAGAGGGUGCUUUGGCGUCGGCGGCGGUCUAAGUUCCUUGGAACAGGACAUCGCAGAGGGUGAGAAUCCCGUAUGUGGUCGCAUGCCUUCGCCGUGUAAAGCCCCUUCGACGAGUCGAGUUGUUUGGGAAUGCAGCUCUAAAUGGGAGGUAAAUUUCUUCUAAAGCUAAAUACCGGCCAGAGACCGAUAGCGCACAAGUAGAGUGAUCGAAAGAUGAAAAGCACUUUGGAAAGAGAGUCAAACAGCACGUGAAAUUGUUGAAAGGGAAGCGCUUGCAGCCAGACUUGCCUGUAGUUGCUCACCCGGGCUCCUGCCCGGGGCACUCUUCUGCAGGCAGGCCAGCAUCAGUUUGGGCGGUCGGAUAAAGGCCUCUGACACGUACUUCCUCUCGGGGAUGACAUAUAGGGGAGGCGCAAUGCGACCAGCCCGGACUGAGGUCCGCGCAUCUGCUAGGAUGCUGGCGUAAUGGCUGUAAGCGGCCCGUCUUGAAACACGGACCAAGGAGUCUAACAUCUAUGCGAGUGUUUGGGUGUCAAGCCCGGGCGCGCAAUGAAAGUGAACGGAGGUGGGAACCCCUCGGGGCGCACCAUCGACCGAUCCUGAUGUCUUCGGAUGGAUUUGAGUAAGAGCAUAGCUGUUGGGACCCGAAAGAUGGUGAACUAUGCUUGAAUAGGGUGAAGCCAGAGGAAACUCUGGUGGAGGCUCGCAGCGGUUCUGACGUGCAAAUCGAUCGUCAAAUUUGGGCAUAGGGGCGAAAGACUAAUCGAACUAUCUAGUAGCUGG